UUGAAAGUCAAAAUGUUGUAAGCGCCAAAAUCUGGGAAAAUUGGUUUUUGAGUCCAGCUGAUAGAUAUGUGCUUGUUUUACGUCCCAGCAAAGUGUUGUAACCAUCUAAUUCAUUUUAAGGGAGAAAAAGAAGAAUAAAGUUUGUUGUAACUGCCAAUAUUGCAAGUCUUUGAAAGUCAAAAUGUUGUAUGAGCUAGAAACUGAAAGACAGAAUGUUGUAUCGUCAUCCAAGAACAUUUUGUACUGGAUCCAGUUUUCAAUCUCUGCUAGCCAGAAUGUUGUAUAAGCCACCAGUCACAUGGUUCUAGGUUAUGUUUCAGUGGAAGUUGAAGCGUGAUUCUUGUUUCAUUGGUCUGUGUAGCGUGAUUUGCUGUGUAUUUUUGUUGUUUGAAAUUGAAUUAUCCAGGAAAACUUAUCAAGAGAAUGAGUUUGUAAACUGUUUCAUCAUUUCUUUGAGAGGUUGGAAAAAAUGACAAGUAGAGCUGCUAUGUUGGUUGAAUUGGCCAAGGAAUCUAAUACCAGUACUACAGAAUUUGCCAGUUUAAAAAAGGAGAUGAAAAUGUCUAUCUAAGAAAUAGCUAUGAUGAAGAUGAAGAAACAAGGAAAAUAUCAAUGCUUUGUAGAAGGAGCAAGACUGAAGUAACAUCAAAAACCCAACUGUACAAUGAUAAGCUUCCAAUAAAUGAGAGAAAAUAUAAAAACUUAACAGAUUUGUGUAAAAAUGGAAUCAUCCCUGAAAGAUUCCAUACUGAAUACUUCCAGAUCCCUCA